UACGGGGGGGGGCAAGCGUUGUUCGGAAUUACUGGGCGUAAAGGGCUCGUAGGUGGCCAACUAAGUCAGGCGUGAAAUCCCUCGGCUUAACCGGGGAACUGCGUCUGAUACUGGAUGGCUUGAGAUUGGGAGAGGGAUGCGGAAUUCCAGGUGUAGCGGUGAAAUGCGCAGAUAUCAGGAGGAACACCAGCGGCGAAGGCGGCGCUCUGGGCCGGUACUGACGCUGAGGAGCGAAAGCGUGGGGAGCAAACAGG
rnacentral:rRNA from 1 species